AUUUAAUUUAUUUUUCUGCUACUACUUUCUAUUAUCUGUUGCUUUAAUUGUCAUUUGAACACAUAAACUCUGUAGAGAACUAACCUCAAAAUUUAUCUUUAAAGCAACUUUAACUUUUUCCCCCCUUUAAUGCAUAAUUUUUUAAGUUUAUUGUCCACAAAAGCGUCUAAAUUACAUAUAUUUGCCUCAAAUCUCUACAAAGCUGCAAACCCUGAACCCAUUAAAUAACCUCAACAGAAAAAUCAUAAAAUUCGAAAGCUCAUGCUUAUAACUAUAUAGAUCUGUAUGUGUGUGGGCACAUGGGUGCAUGCAACUGCAACCAAUUAUCAGUGUGAACCUACAAGUUAUUUAUCUAAACGUACAUACAUCUACAUAUAUACAUACAUACAUAUAUAGUUAUGUAAGUUAGUAAAGAUUGCGAGAGCAAACCUAAAUGGUGACAACAACAAAUUCUAGUUAAUAGGAAACUACUGAACUUAAACUGAGGGUACACACAUUUAUAAAAAAUAAAUCAACAACAUUAAGAAGAAGAAAUAAGCAAAACAAAGCAAAAGUAUCGCAACACAAAGGAUACGUAACUUAAUUCAAUUUAAAUACGCAUCAAAUGUAACUGUAAUUGUAAUUGUAUUUAGUAGUAAGUCAAUAUUUAAUGAUGAAUGUGUAUGUGUAACUCGGCGGCGCGAUUAUAAAGGAAUGCAACAAUUUUUUAAUUAAAAAAAAAUUAAAGUAACUUAAUUAUCUUAAAUAAAAAAAAUCAAUAAUAAUAAUAAAUAAUGUUUACGCAACACAUUACUACUAAAAUUAAAGUUAAUACAACUAAAUAAUGUAUUUAAUAAAUUUAUAAUAAUGAUAUAUAUAUUGUAUGUAUGUAUGUAAAAUUUUAAAAAAUCUCACAAAUAUUUUAUAAAACAACAACAAAACAAAAACAACUCGAAAACAACAAAAAAUCAGAAUGAAACAAAUAAGCAAGUUUAAUAUUAUCUAUUGGUAUAUUAAGUUAGUCAAAGUAUCGUCGGAAAUUAUAAGUAAAAAAUCUAAAUAUAAAGCAAAUUACAAAAAUGCAAGUUGGACUUAACUAUACAUAUGUACAUAUGUAUAUGUAUUGAAAAAAUUAAAAAUAAAAACAAAAAACACAAAGAAACGUUUAAAAGCAGCCGAGUAAGCGCAGUAGUCGUGUCUGUUUGUUUGCGUGUGAGCGUGCGCACAAGUCGGCGGUGUGCAAGGCGCAAAGUGCGCACACUCAAACGAACACUACACUCACCCACCUGGCGCAUACUGGCGAAAUACAAAGUGAAACAACAAAAACAAAGCAUGAAAACACACUGUUAUCAGGUGUUGACAUAAAUAUUUAAUAAAGAAAAUUAAUAAAUUAUAAAAUAUA